GGCCGAGUAGCAAAGUGGUAAUGCUGCGGAUUGCAAAUCCGCCACUCGUCGGUUCGAUUCCGGCCUCGGCCU
rnacentral:tRNA from 1 species